rnacentral:rRNA from 1 species
AUUGAACGCUGGCGGCAGGCCUAACACAUGCAAGUCGAGCGGAUGAAGGGAACUUGCUCCUGGAUUCAGCGGCGGACGGGUGAGUAAUGCCUAGGAAUCUGCCUGGUAGUGGGGGAUAACGUCCGGAAACGGGCGCUAAUACCGCAUACGUCCUGAGGGAGAAAGUGGGGGAUCUUCGGACCUCACGCUAUCAGAUGAGCCUAGGUCGGAUUAGCUAGUUGGUGGGGUAAGGGCCUACCAAGGCGACGAUCCGUAACUGGUCUGAGAGGAUGAUCAGUCACACUGGAACUGAGACACGGUCCAGACUCCUACGGGAGGCAGCAGUGGGGAAUAUUGGACAAUGGGCGAAAGCCUGAUCCAGCCAUGCCGCGUGUGUGAAGAAGGUCUUCGGAUUGUAAAGCACUUUAAGUUGGGAGGAAGGGCAGUAAGUUAAUACCUUGCUGUUUUGACGUUACCAACAGAAUAAGCACCGGCUAACUUCGUG